AUUGAACGCUGGCGGCAUGCCUUACACAUGCAAGUCGAACGGCAGCACGGGAGCUUGCUCCUGGUGGCGAGUGGCGAACGGGUGAGUAAUACAUCGGAGCGUACCCUGAAGUGGGGGAUAACGUAGCGAAAGUUACGCUAAUACCGCAUAUUCUGUGAGCAGGAAAGAGGGGGAUCGCAAGACCUCUUGCUUUAGGAGCGGCCGAUGUCGGAUUAGCUAGUUGGUGAGGUAAAGGCUCACCAAGGCGACGAUCCGUAGCGGGUCUGAGAGGAUGAUCCGCCACACUGGGACUGAGACACGGCCCAGACUCCUACGGGAGGCAGCAGUGGGGGAAUUUUGGACAAUGGGCGCAAGCCUGAUCCAGCCAUUCCGCGUGCAGGAUGAAGGCCUUCGGGUUGUAAACUGCUUUUGUUACGGAACGAAAAGGUACCUGGUUAAUAACCUAGUGUGGAUGACGUACCGGAAGGAAGAAGACACCGGCUAACUACGUAGCCAGCAGCCGCGGUAA
rnacentral:rRNA from 1 species